rnacentral:rRNA from 1 species
UGCUUGCAAUCCGCUGACGACCGGCGCACGGGUGCGUAACGCGUAUGCAACCUACCUUCUACAGGGGGAUAGUCAAUAGAAAUGUUGAAUAAUACCCCAUACGAUCUUUGAAUAGCAUUAUUUAAAGAAGAAAGCUCCGGCGGUAGAAGAUGGGCAUGCGUCCUAUUAGUUAGUUGGUAAGGUAACGGCUUACCAAGACUUCGAUAGGUAGGGGUCCUGAGAGGGAGACCCCCCACACUGGUACUGAGACACGGACCAGACUCCCACGGGAGGCAGCAGUGAGGAAUAUUGGACAAUGGAGGCAACUCUGAUCCAGCCAUGCCGCGUGCAGGAAGACUGCCCUAUGGGUUGUAAACUGCUUUUAUACAGGAAGAAAUAUACCUACGUGUAGGUAUUUGACGGUACUGUACGAAUAAGGAUCGGCUAACUCCGUGCCAGCAGCCGCGGUAAUACGGAGGAUCCAAGCGUUAUCCGGAAUCAUUGGGUUUAAAGGGUCCGUAGGCGGUCUUUUAAGUCA